rnacentral:rRNA from 1 species
CCUACGGGAGGCAGCAGUGGGGAAUAUUGGACAAUGGGGGGAACCCUGAUCCAGCGACGCCGCGUGAGUGAAGAAGUAUUUCGGUAUGUAAAGCUCUUUCAGCAGGGAAGAAAGAAAUGACGGUACCUGACUACGAAGCCCCGGCUAACUACGUGCCAGCAGCCGCGGUAAUACGUAGGGGGCAAGCGUUAUCCGGAUUUACUGGGUGUAAAGGGAGCGUAGACGGCGAUGCAAGUCUGAAGUGAAAGGCGGGGGCCCAACCCCCGGACUGCUUUGGAAACUGUAUGGCUGGAGUGCAGGAGAGGUAAGUGGAAUUCCUAGUGUAGCGGUGAAAUGCGUAGAUAUUAGGAGGAACACCAGUGGCGAAGGCGGCUUACUGGACUGUAACUGACGUUGAGGCUCGAAAGCGUGGGGAGCAAACAGGAUUAGAUACCCCAGUAGUC